AAGCGAGCCCGCGAGGGGAGCGAAUCCCAAAAAUAAACGUCCCAGUUCGGAUUGUAGUCUGCAACCCGACUACAUGAAGCUGGAGUUGCUAGUAAUCGCGAAUCAGCAUGUCGCGGUGAAUACGUUCCCGGGCCUUGUACACACCGCCCGUCACACCAUGAGAGUUGGCAAUACCCAACGUACGUGAUCUAACCCGCAAGGGAGGAAGCGUCCUAAGGUAGGGUCAGCGAUUGGGGUGAAGUCGUAACAAGGUAGC
rnacentral:rRNA from 1 species